CGUUGGUGAACCAGCGGAGGGA
rnacentral:rRNA from 4 species